UGAAAAGAACAAAGUUUUGUCCAUCUUUGUUCAUCAUAGCCUAAAGUUAGGGAAGAGAAAGGAGAGGAGAAAGCUCUUGAAUGUUCGGUCACUUAGGGAAGAAAAUUGAAGGCGGUUCGUGUGUGGAUCUCGUCAGCAUAUCGUCGCAAACAGGUAAUCCCCAACCAUAGUGGGCUUGGAGCUGUGAGGGAAUUCGGAGUGGCCACCCGUUCUGAAAGUUUGAUUUUCUUCUGGUGAACUGGACAUCCUUUUAUUUACGUUUGAAGUUUUGGGUUUUUAAAUGUAAUAAGGCCGCUUAUUUAUUUUUGAUGGUUUUUAAUAUGUAUUACUAAGAUAGGUAAUACUUAUUUUAACUGUUGAAA